UGUUUCAGACAUAGUCGAAUCCCUGGGCCUCCCCAGGGUUCCAUGUUCCGUAGGUGAACCUGCGGAAGGAUCAUUA
rnacentral:rRNA from 1 species